AUAAAACGUUGGCUUUGUUUGGCUGAGCUGAUAAACCUGUUGUUCCAGCUCAGUCUAUCUCGGUGUUGUCCUUUUGACGUCUUGUGUGGCCUACAUAUAUAUCCAUACACUUACAUAAUACAGGAGAGACAGUCCACAGACAUACAAAGAUUAGGCCAACAGAUAUCUGGAGCAAUUCAAAAAGCCAAGGACCUUCCCUCUAUAUUUAAUACUGGUGCAUAAAUGGGUUGGUAUAAUCCGACAAUGACACUCUCAAAACCACCGUUGCUAGUCCCAUCCAACUCGUGGGUUUUGAGGAGUAAGAAGGUAACUGAAUGUAGAAGAAAUUACCCAUUGAUUGGAAGGAAGCAGGAAAAAUUAGUGGGUAUACAUUUUGUGGGUCGUAAGGGAAUGCUCAGACUGAAGGUUUCGGCAUCUUCAGGAGAAGGAGAAGAAGCCGAGUCAGGGUAUAUAGAGGAAUUCAGUUGGUCUUCUGUUAUUUUGCCUUUUUUCUUCCCAGCCCUAGGCGGUUUAUUAUUUGGCUACGAUAUUGGUGCCACAUCAGGUGCUACCAUCUCAUUGCAGUCGCCUGAGCUUAGUGGAAUGAGUUGGUACAACCUCUCAGCUGUUCAGCUUGGUCUUGUGGUCAGCGGUUCCCUUUAUGGGGCUCUUAUUGGCUCCAUACUCGCCUACCCAUUUGCUGAUUUCCUAGGAAGGAGUAGGGAACUGAUCAUAGCAGCCAUUUUAUAUUUAGCUGGCGGUUCACUAACUGCCUGUGCUCCAGGACUAGGGGCACUCUUGUUGGGUCGGCUUGUUUAUGGACUAGGAAUUGGCUUGGCAAUGCAUGGAGCACCUCUAUAUAUAGCGGAGACUUGUCCAUCCCAAAUCAGAGGGACAUUAAUCUCUUUAAAGGAGCUGGCAAUAGUACUCGGUAUUUUGCUUGGUUAUUUUGUAGGUAGUUAUGAAAUUGAUGUCAUUGGAGGGUGGCGUUACAUGUUUGGAUUUAGUGCUCCAAUUGCUUUAUUGAUGGGGUUUGGCAUGUGGACACUCCCACCCUCUCCCAGAUGGUUACUUCUGAGGGCAAUUCAAGGUAAAGGACCAUUGCAGGAAUACAAACAGAAGGCUAUUGGAGCAUUGAGCAAACUGAGAGGCCGCCCUGAUGGCGAUAAAAUAUCUGAAAAACAAAUAGAAGAUACUAUUAUAUCAUUGAAAACUGCCUACACAGAUGAAGAAGCUGAAGGAAAUUUUCUUGAGGUAUUGCAAGGACCAAGUUUGAAAGCAUUUACAAUUGGAGGAGGUUUGGUCCUUUUUCAACAGAUAACUGGACAGCCAAGCGUUCUGUAUUAUGCUGGUUCAAUUCUUCAGAGUGCUGGUUUUUCUGCGGCUGCAGAUGCUGCUCGAGUUUCAGUCGUUAUUGGUAUAUUCAAGGUAAGUUGAGUAACUAAAGCCAGGAAAAGUCUUUUAUCUCUCGUUCAAGAAUAUUAACCUGAGUCUUUUUAUCAGACGGAUUGAUGAUUUCCCUCUAAUACUCUGACUCUUUGUUUGCAUCGAGUUUACUUAUUCUCCUGCAGUCACUGAUGACAGCAGUCGCUGUCCUAAAAGCUGAUGAUCUUGGGAGAAGGCCAUUGUUGAUUGGAGGAGUCAGUGGGAUUGUACGCAUCUAAUCAUAGGAUUAUACUCUAGAUACUUAUCAUUUUAUAUAUAGGUCAUAUUUCUACUUGUUGGUCUUAUUUCUGAGAGAAAAUGUUGCUAUUUGUGUGAUGUGAUCUACAGGCCCUAUCAUUGUUUCUUCUUUCAGCUUAUUAUAAAUUUCUCGGCAGUUACCCUUUCGUUGCUGUUUCUGCUCUGCUUCUCUAUGUGGGAUGCUACCAGAUAUCUUUUGGGCCUAUUAGCUGGCUUAUGGUAUCAGAGAUUUUCCCACUCCGCACCAGAGGGAAGGGGAUUAGUCUUGCUGUUCUUACCAAUUUUGGUUCUAAUGCGAUAGUGACCUUUGCUUUUUCACCUCUCAAGGAGUUGCUUGGGGCAGAAAAUCUUUUCCUUCUAUUUGGAGUGAUUGCUUUAUUGUCACUUGUGUUUGUGGUCACCUCUGUUCCAGAGACUAAAGGCUUGACCUUGGAAGAGAUUGAGUCCAAAAUCUUGAAGUGAAGACAUAGUUUUGUGUCCUUGAGAUCCUCACAAAUAGAAUAAUUGUCUCUUCUUUAAUAUAUCAAUUCUAUCAGAAUACAAUGCUGCAAACUUGUAUCUAAUAUUUUGAUGACUUCGCGAUUCUGCUACUGUUUGGCGAUUCUUCUUGUGCUACUCUGUAUAUAUUGUUUUUGUUGCCACUCUGACUUGGCGAA
rnacentral:misc_RNA from 1 species